CAUUUGAGGAGAACAGAAACAGAGAGGUCAACAAACACCCCAGCCAAAAUAAAUGAAAAUUAAAGAUCCGUCCCCAUCUCCCCCUUUGAGAAUUAUUUUGUUGGGAAGUGACUGAUUUCAGGUUCAACACAGCAAAUAUCCUAAAGUAUGUAUCAAAACAGUGAAAAGUGUAAAGUCAUGAUCCUCAGCUAACCCAUAUCAGCUGAAUCCCUAAAAUUUAUUUAUAUAUAAAAUCAGGUUUUUAAAAUGAAGUUUGUCUUUACUCUAGUAGGUAAUUGCUAUAGAUAUUGCUACAGUAUUAAAAAGAGUGACAGUGAUAAUGAUGAAAUUAUUCUCUACAAAGAUCAUAUCCAAAUGACACCAUGUGACCUUCAAGACUUUAUACUUGAGGGAGAUUACCCGCUUAUCAAUUAAAGAAAACAUGAUGAAAUUAUCUGGGGAAAAUAGGAAAUUCUUGAGAUUCAGGAAAAAAUUACCACCAGAGAAUUAAACGCCAACAGUACCUGGCUGGUAAUAUUACUUAAUAGAAAUGAUACACUGCAGAGACUGCAGUUCCCCAAACCAGCCAUAUGAGGACGACUGUGAGGCGUCAGCUAUGGCUGCAUGGGAGUGGAUGGAUGGGCAUUGAAGUGUUUGUUCCCUAAGAGGCCUUUCUCGGGGGCACCAUCUCCCUGAUAGCACCCAGGCCUAAAACCCAGGCCCGCACCAGCAGUGCCAACUGGGACUUCCCAAGGCAGGGGGAAGAACACGGAGGGGCUCGCAGUAAUGGCAGGCAGGCUCCAGUUACCAACACAUAGAAAUCAUUCAAUAUUUUUAUUCAUUCUGCCUGAAAGUCAGCCUCUUAUAUGUAGGGUAGCUCGGGGCUAGGAUUAGACCCCAAAGUUCCCCCUGCGAGGAGGAGAGAGUGAAAGUGAACUAUUUCCAAAAUGAUAUUUCACAUGAUCCCAGGUUUGUAAUCAGAAAUAUUGCUUUUACAAAUCAACUGCAACCGCAUUAAAUAGAUGAGAAAAUAUGACCACAGUUUUAAGCAAUUAAAACACGGCAAGAUAUGUAGCCCUGCAGGUUCAACAAUAAUUGCACACAAGAAAAAUCAAUAUACACAUAGUGUCUACACACAACAUUCAUUCCCCGCCCCCUCUACUUAGCAAGUAUUUACAGAGCCCGUGCAACUUGCACUUGUCUUUGUGCUGGGGAUCAGCAAUGAACAAAGUGCACAGCGUCCCUGGUGUCACAGAGCAGGUGUUUUAUGGGACAAAAACGCGUAAUUCCUGAUUGGAAGACAUCCGAUGAGGUAGUGAAGAGAGAGCUGUGCAGUAGCUCAGGGAAGAGGACGGCUCCUAGAGAUGGGGUCAAGGCACGCCUCUCUGGAGAGCAGACACGGAGCUAACCUUGAGGGAUAACGAGGUGCCAGUGAGUUCAAGACCUGGAAGAAGAGAUUCCAGGUAGAGCAGAGGUCCCCAACCUUUUUGACAACAGGGACCGGUUUUGUGGAAGGCAGUUUUUCCACGGACCGGGCUGGGGGUGAGGUGGGUCGCCGCCUUGGCUCCACCUCAGAUCAUCAGGAGUUGGAUUCCCGCGCGGAGCACACAGCCUGCUUCCCGCGCAUGCGCAGUUUGCAGUGGGGUUUGCGCUCCUGAGAGCGUCCGAGGCCAGCGCGGAUCCGCCACGGGGCGGGGCUCAGGCCGCCAUGCGAGCAUGGGGAGCGGCUGUGGAUGCAGGUGGAGCUUCGCUACCUCACCCUCGCUUCGAGGGCCCUGAGGUGGGGAAGAGCUUGGGUGGAUUCGAGAGGAGGGUGCUGUGAGAGAGAACACCAUGAGCCCAGGGGGAGGAAGACAGCUGGGAUAACGUUCCAGAGAAGAAAAGGAUACAAGCUGUAAGAGGAGAAAGCAUUAGCAAGCUUAGGCUGACCUGGAUUCAACUCCUUUUUGUACAGCUGAACUAAAGUAGUACAGAGAAGAAUUGCUGGGUUUCAGCACAACAUCAUACUUUACCAGUUUCUGUAGCACUGGUAUAUCAAUCUCAUUUGUUCAAAAAUGAAAAUAAAACCAGCUGGCUACUUCUCAACACAGGACUGACGCUGACCCUGCCUUAGAACAUCACGUGAUGAACAAGAUGCAUUGCAGGCCCUGUGAUUCCACCUCUCUUUGAAUCAUAACUCACUGUGAGACCUGAAGAAAGGACAUGUCAGAGCUGAUAGUAUUCUGAGAGACAGGAAGCUUGAGUGACUUCACGCCCCCCAGCACUGCUCUUUAGCCUACCAACUGUUCAAUUGCUAUAAGCGAAAGGCUCUCAGAUCCAAGCUGUUGAUUCUUCAAGUCAACACACCUGGAUCUUUCAGUUUCUUAAAUUCUCUCAGCAGUUGUGCCUUCUAAAUGGUUAGUCAUCUCACUUUUCUCACCUCGCAACUUUGCUUCUCUUUCAUCUGUGCACUCAGAAGGCUGCAUGAACUGCUGACCUAGACACAAGGUGCUAGACGUGUCUUCUACACGUGGAUACCUUUAAGUCACCUAUUAUUUCCUUACCUGCUAGCUGCAGUUCUUCGUCAAGAGGAUUCAAAAACAAAAUCCUCCUGCUCCCCAACCCCCCAAAAAGAAAAAUCACAGACACAAAAAUCUUAUCUCAGUUCUCUGAAGGAGACUAGAAGUGCUUAAGAAUCAUUUUGCAGCAUGUGAGAGCAGAUGUGUUGUCCUCUAGACACAAAACAUGCAGACAAGUCUGCAAGCCUGCAGACUGCAGAGAACUCCUCCUUCAAAGAUCUGAAUUCACACAAGCUCCUUAGGGGUAGCAAGGAAGAUAUCAAUAUGUGAGACCACAUUUAAAAAGAGAAUUUGGAUGAAAUAUCCUCAGCACAGAGAAACACAGGUAAAGAGUUCUCAACUCUUAGAAUCUAGUGUCUGGGGCUGAAGGUUCCCUGGUUUGAAUCUGUGAUGAGCAGAUUUUCAACCCUAGCAAAGCUUUGUUAUAGUGGCUCUCUAUUUGUUGCAAGAAUCUCAGAUAAUAUCAAUGCUUAAUUUCAAUAUGUUAUGCCCAUUUCAAUAUAUUAUAUCCAUGUAAAUAUGCACGUGUAUAUAUGCAAACAUAUACCCAUAUCUGUCUCAAAUUCCAAAGGCUGAGUAUCAUUUCCAAAGGAUAAUUUUUUAUUCCAUAAUAGUUUAUUUAAUUGAAACAGAACCAAAUUUUCAUCCUUCUUUGGAAAAUAUAUGAAGAUGUCUUGGUUUAUCAGUCUACAUGAGGUGCUGAGGCCUCCUACAGUAGUUUCAUUCUGAAAAUCCCAUCACUUGAACUUGGAGCCCUGAGAUGGUUUAUUUGUGGUCCCAGAUAAAAGCUCCUACUCUUCACAAUUCUCCUCCGUCCAUGGCCCUUUCCAAUAGCUUCCAUGGACACUACUAUGAUUCUAACUGUGUUGACUCCAGUCUCCUGCUCAAUAGACUGUGAUCUCUUUAAGACACAGGGAUGGAGAUUGGCUAAGAAAAUUUUUAGGAAAGAAGGGUUAUUGUGAGGUCUUGCCUUACAACAUUAAAAUGUAUAAGGCUAAAAUAAUUAAAACAGCAUCCAAUUGGUGCAAGGAAAGAUGUGCACAGCAAUGAACAUAACAGUUAGCAACAGUAUAUAGAAAAGCAGCAUGCAUAGGACAAGCCUAGUCUAUUUAAAAAAUUUAUUUAAAUUUUUUAUACACUGUAGGUAUUCCAGACAGCCCAAUUUAAUGUAAAAAAUACCUAAAUAUGUAUAUAAAAGGUAAUAUGAUUAUCUCCGGGUAGCAUUAUUAUGAGUUCU